rnacentral:tmRNA from 2 species
CGGUUAAAUACAAUAGACAGGGCUAAGCAUGUAGAACUCUGGGCAGAGGACUCACGGACGGCGGUUCAAAUCCGCCCGCCUCCACCA